AGCGUGCGGGUUCGUCUUACGUCAGUUCCGCCUUGUGGUGGGAGCGGCGAGGGCAUCGCUGGGGUGGGUGCUGUCCUCAAGUUCCCGGGGCGUAGACUCGAUGAGAAAGGGAUUCAGUCCCGAGAAUGGGUCGGGCGGGACGGCGCGCCUGCAGUCCGGCCCCGGGGAGGCAGAGGCAGGCGCAUCUGAAGCUGAGGCCAGUCUGGUCCGCAUAGCGAGUUUCAGGCCAGCCAAGACUGCCUGAAGACCUUUGAUGGAGCCAUGGUGCAGAAACAUUGCCAAAGGGAAGUCUGGGAGAAGAUGAGGAAAGAAACAAGCCAGUUUGGCCCUCUUCGUUGGAUGAGGCCUACUUACCAUGUGAUGCCCUGUUUUGCAUCAGGAUUCUGCAGAAUCCCACUAAGACCAGCACCUACUCAGGCCCUUGAAGUCGGACCUUCCACGCUCCAGAACCGUGAGGUCGUGUUCAUCUGUGGUGCUUCCAAACAUGGCAGACAGAAGGUGAUGGAGUUUGCUGAAUGUGUGAAUACCUGAGUCAGACAGAGAUGGAACUGUCCGCCCAGAAGGAACCCCCCCAGUUCUUAGCCACUAACUUCUGCUACCAUAAUCCUUCCCAGAUCAAAAUGCCAGGUGAGAAAACCAGAAAAGAACCUGGACCUGCAGCCUAGAGAGAGGAACCUUGCACGUGUGCUUAGGAAUUUCUUCGAUCCCUUCCCUUCUUUCCCACUUCCUCCUGAUAACAGCCGACUCUCACAGAGGUUAUGUUAUAUCCCUUACUUGAAAGAUACUCCCACGGUUUCUUUGGGUUUCAGAAGCUGAUUGUCGCUCUAGCGCUCUGCAGCUUUCUUUUGACUCAGAGUUCUUACUUCAUACAUAACGCAAGCAAGGAUCUUGAAAUGUGGGAGAGACACUAUUCCUCUGUCAGUGGUUCUCAACCUUCCUAACGCUGUGACUCUUGAAUACAGCUCCUCGUGUUGUGAUGACCCCCAACCACAAACGUAUUCUAGUAGUAACUUUGCUGCUGUUAUGAAUCAUAAUGUAAAAAUCUGAUAUGCAGAUGGUCUUAGGUGACCCCUGAUCAUUCAACAACCCACAGGGGUCACGACCCACAGGUUGAGAACUGCUGCUCUAUCAAGUCCAGCCCAUGCCACAUAUGGAGUGCCUGUUGUCAACUCUUGUCUUUUUUAGCUGCAGGCAGACCCCUUCGUGCUUCACUAACCUGCAAUUCAUUAUCUGCCGCAGUAGCACCAACACAGCUAAGCCAAGGAAGCAAGUCAGUUGCCAAGAACAGUGAGUAAUGGUGGAGCUCAAAAAAUCAAUAUCUGUCCACAUAUUUCUAUGAAUGGGGUGCAUCCAUCAAAAUGAGUGGGUGACAUUUGUCCCAGCCUAGCUGACAUGAAUCACUUUCUGUGUUAUCGGCAAAGCUGGUCCCUGCCUGGUGGUUGGCAUGCUCACUUACUGAUGGGGUCUCUGAUCGAGUCUGAACUAAUUGAAUCCUAAAGUGGAAUCCAGUCACUAACGAUGUACCAACGCCCCGCACUCUCAGGUUGUUCCCAGCAUCCUUCCUAAUCACUUCUGUAGCCUUCUGGUUUUGACUGUUUAUCUUGGUCAUGCCUCCUUGUCUGAGAAGUGAUUGGGUAGUAUGCAGAGGUAACCUCACGGGGUUUUUCCACUCAGUAGAUGGGAUUUUAGAAACAUGGGUGUGUGAAAGCCCCGUGUUGCCUUUUAAAACCCCCUUGUGCUCAAAGAGGAAGCUUAGUGAACAGUUUCACCAAAGCAUCAGGAAUCUCAGAGAAUGCUGAGUCACUGGGCUCUGGAAAUGAACCUCUGUUUCUUUAGUUGUUGGUUCAAGAUGAGCAAACUUCCCUUUCCCAUGAACUAAUAUGCCAACGAGCCAGAGAUCAGCUCGUCCUCUGACACAGAUGACAGAGGAAUGUGACAAAUGUUCCAUCUCUUCCCUCCCAGCUCAUACUGUGUCCUGGCUGCACACCCGCUGUGUCUUACUCACCUCUGCGGUCCGCUGUCUCCAAGCUCCUUCCUCUGUAUUUGCCCAAUGGGGAGCUUUUCCUCUGAACUCCUUGCACAUCUGUCAAAAUCUCUUCAUUGAGAUUUGCUAUAGAUGUUUCAGGGACUGUGCUAGCUCCCACGUGCACACCCAUUGGAUGGUGCUGCCUUGCUGGCAGCAGAACCCCCAGUGUGGCUCUUCAAAACCACAAAUGUCCAGCCCCCGUCACUCCGGGAGAGUGAUUUGGACUUCCCACCGGGAGGAGAACCACUGCUUUUCAGUCACCAGGUGGAUCAACCAACUUAACUACAGACGUGCCAAACAAACCAGUCCGGGACUGUAGAUGUAAUUCUAAACGGUCUUAUUAAAUAAGAAACACAGAGCCAAAUAAAGAGUUAAAAGCCCAGAGAUCGGAGCAGUAGCCAAGAGCUAAGACCACCUUAUCUUACCACUUGCUGCUGUCCUUCCCCUGAGAAAGAGAGACCUUCUUCCUGUGUCCUUUUUAUUGACUUUCUGGUCUGCCUUCUCAUUGGCUCUAAACCCAACCACAUGACUUCCUCAUCACUGCUUGUCUAUACAGACUUCCAGGUCUCUGUCGUUGGUACUGGGAUCACCAUGCUGGCUGUGUCCUUGAACACACAGAGACUCUGCCUGCCAUGUGAUCGGACUUCUGCUUAAUGAUCUCCAGGCAACUUUAUUUAUUAACAUACAAAUAAAAUCACAUUUCAGCACAAAUAAAAUAUCACCAUACGGGUCCUAAAUGGUGGCUUGAGCAAACACCUGGGCUGUCUAAAUUUGGCUGUCUUUUUGUAGGUGCUAAUGCCAAGUUGAUUACAUUAGUCCUAUUACUUGUAGCCAAAAAUGUCUUCCUGGCUACCUUUUCUCUCAUUCCUCUUAUUUCAGGUGUUAACUGAAAGUGUUCUGCUUGAGAAAGACAUGAAUGAAUGAAUGAAUGAAUGAAUGAAUGAAUGAAUGAAUUCAGUCCUUGAGUGUGUCAGUAUACUGAGGACUGAGGCUAUCGUAUUGACUGAAUAAGUCCCCGUCCCUGUAGAUUCUAUGUUCUUGUGAGAAUAAAACUUCUCUUGAAGUCAGAUUAGCAACUUCUCUAGAUAGACAAGCUUAUGUCUCUCCAAUUAUAAGUAGGUUCCACCAGUAUGAGAGGUUAGAAUAGGAACCCUCGGGCCACAGGCUCGCUGUUCAGGAAUUCCCCUAUCAGGAUAACUUUCUUUAGUCAAAGAAAAAGGAAAUGGCAACUGAGAGCUUGAAGAAAACUUUGUCUCCUGAGUUUAUGACUCAGAGGAAAAGCUACAGUGUACCUGAGGCGACAUCUCUGUUCCCAGACCUAAGACAAGGAACUGUGGAACAGAUUGGGGGCCACAACAUGAAAGAGUUAAAAAAACAAAAAAACUUUGUUUCUUUUUACUUCAUUUAUUUUAUUUUAAUGUUUUGAGACAGGGUCAUGUAUAUGAGGUUGGCCUUUAACUCACUAUGUAGCCAAGGCUGGUUUUGAACUCCUAAUUUUCCUGCCUCUGUUUCUGAAGUCCUGGGAUUACAGGCUUAUGCUACUAGUACACCUGGCUCUGGAAAACCUCAGAUUUAAAUGAGUGAUAUUGGGAGCAAAGGAAACUAUUGGCUACUCAGUGUGGAUAUUUGAGUCCAUGUGAAGCUAUCAGGAGUGAUAGGCCCAACUCAUGCCCAGGUCUUCCAGCUGCAGGAAAGCCGCCAGCAUGAAGAUGCCUUCCACUUAAAGACCAUCCAAUGCCCCCUUAAACUAAGUGACGAUCUCCCUUAGGGAGAACUGUACUUGGGACUCUUUUUAAAUUUUUUUUAACUUUUGUAUUUUUAUUUUACGUGCAUUGGUGCUUUGCCAUGGGUGUUGGGUCCCCUGGAACUGGAGUUACAGACAGUUGUGAGCUGCCAUGUGGGUGCUGGGAAUUGAACCCAGGUCCUCUGGGAGAGCAGUCAGUGCUCUUAAGCACUGAGCCAUCUCUCCAGCCCCUACUUAUGACUCUUAUUUAAUAUCACUACCACAUAUUGUUUGCAUAAGAGAUGGGAGGGCCCCGCCUGUCACAUUUCCAGGGAACAGCAGCUAGGAAAGUGUUCGCCACUGGGAUGAAGGAAGACUCACCUGGAAAGUGAACCCAUGGAGUGAAGGCAGGUCUGGUGGACCAGAGAGCAGAUUCCAAGGAGCAGGGCCGGAAGGAGAGAUCAACAAUGGUGCAAGGCACUGGCUAAGGUCCAGGUGUGAAGCCUCGGCACUGGAGAAGCCAAGGGGAAGGUCUUUGACCUGGUCCUGAUAGCCCGCUCUUGUCAUAAAACUCAGCGUCAGCUGACAGAAAGGAGCCUGAUAAAGGUGACCUCUACAAGAGUAGGAGGUGUCUGAUAAGCCUUGUGUGACACACCACACAGAUGUUUUUUCGUCUCCUCAGAGUUGUUGAAGUCCAGCUUGUCAGCUUCACAGUGCUUUUUUGCUACAAGAUGCUGGCCUGAGCUUGGUAGAGAGGAGGGUCCCUGCCCUCAAGGAGCUUAUAUUUCAGUAGGAGGAGACUGUCAUUUGCAAGUCAGCGGUAAAUGCAUAGGGAAGAGUUAGAUCUGAGAAUGAGCUAUCAAGAUUGAUGAGGAGGAGCUGGAGAGAUGGCUUAGUGGUUAAGAGUGCUUGCUGCGCCGGGCGGUGGUGGCGCACGCCUUUAAUCCCAGCACUCGGGAGGCAGAGCCAGGCGGAUCUCUGUGAGUUCGAGGCCAGCCUGGGCUACCAAGUGAGUUCCAGGAGAGGCGCAAAGCUACACAGAGAAACCCUGUCUCGAAAAACCAAAAAAAAAAAAAAAAAAAAAAAGAGUGCUUGCUGCUCUUCUGAGGUCCUGCGUUCAAUUCCCUGCACGUGCAUGUCGGCUCACAACCAUCUGUAACUCUAGUUCCAGGAGAUCUGAUGCCCUCUUCUGACUUCCAGGGAUAUACACAUGGUGCACAGAAAUAUAUCCAGGCAAAAACAGUCAUAUACAUAGAAUAAAAAUAAAUUUUCAAACAAACCAAUGAUCGACCAGAGACACCUGUCAAAGCAGGGAGGUUUUCUCUAUGGAAGUGAGUUUAAGUUGGGGCCGUAGCCACGUGACGAGAAGAGACAGCUGUUCAAACGGGCUGAGCAGCCCAAGCAGAAGGAAGACUCCAAAGCAGGAACAAGAGCAGACUGAGUGGGGCACAGAGAGAAGCCCUGUGACUACAGCACCGUGAAUGAGAGACAAGGAGAGAGACCAGGCGAGGGGUCUGCAGGGGAGGUCGCCUAGAUCCUGUGAGAGUUUAGGACUCUGAAGACAGUGGGUCCUCAGUGUGUGCCUAAGACCUCGUUUAUCUCUGGAAGCAUGAGCCUGCCUAAAAGGUGGGGUUACACUGAAGACAGGGAUGGGAGUAGGAGAGAGCUGGGGAGAGAAUGUAAGACAUGGUGGAUCACAGCUGGAACGUAGAGAAGGAUGUGGAGAAAGUGGAGUGUUCAGGACACACUGGAGCAGAGGAAAGAGGAGGUACUAUGGGUUAGAAGUGAGGUGUGAGGAAGGAGAUGAUUCAAACAUGACUCAAUUUUAGCCUGAGCAGUUAAAUGAGUACCGGUGUCAUUUACAAAAAUGAGGAGGCCCUCGCUGGGGUAGGAAGGAAUUCAUAUUAUCUGUCUCAGCCAUGUGAGACAUCCAAGCCGAGAUGACAAAUGGCCGUAAGACAGAGCAUGCUGGAGUACAGGGGUGGUGUUUAGUCUAGCACUACUUAUUUGGAAGGCAUAGGCAGAGAUAGAGAUGGAUGGAAUGAGGUCACCCAGUUAAAGGGCAGAGGGGAUACAGUUACAGAGCCCUGAGUACUGCCCAUUCUGAAAAGAAGAGAAGAAGAAUGAGGAAGGGCUGUAGGCCCCAGAUUCAAUCCCUGGCAUCUCCCCCAAGAUAAUAGUUUUUUUCUCUAAAUUUGCCAAAUGCAAAUGGACUGGAUAUUGUAACUGUAAUUCUUAUAUGACUGUCUUAUUAUAUAUAGUUUUACUCUGUUAUGGUUAAAACCUUCCUUUUUAAUUAGACAAAAAGGGGGAAAUGUAAUAUUCCUAUACACUGUGAAUAUAUGUCACUAUGAGUGGUUUAAUAAAAAGCUGACUGGCCAAUAGCUGAACAGGAUAAAGUUAGGCAGGAGAACUGGACUAGGAGAACACUGGGAGGAAGAAGGGUGGAAUCUGGAGUCACCAGCCAGACUCAGAGGGAGCAAGAGAUGAAUGUGCCAUGCUAAUAAAGGUACCAACACGUGGCAGAGCAUAGAUAAGGAAUAUGGGUUAACUUAAAAUGUAAGAGCUAUUUAGUAACAAGCCUGAGCUAUUGGCUGAGCAUUUGUAAUUAAUAUUAAGCCUCUGGGUGAUUAUUAGAGAAUAGCUUCAGAACAGGAAAACUGCCCACAAAGGGACCAUGAGGAAGGAAGAAAAACAGACCACUGUGGUGUCACAAAAGCCCAGAUGUGUAUCCAGAAUAAGGGAGUUGUUGCCCAGAGAGAAUAUUGCUCACUGGUUGGCUAAGAGGAGGACAGAGACCUAAUCAUGACCUUUGGCAAGAUAACCCUGAUAGGGUCCUGCUUGGUGGAGGGUUGAAGAUAACAGCCAUGUGCAAGAAAAGAGCCCAGGAAGGCAGCUUGUGGAUCUCAGAAGACUUCCUGGCCAGGCCCUGUGGAAUCCUUAAGUCUGGGGUGCACUGAUGGCUCCUGGCAGAGAUUAGCCAUCAUUUUCCAAGAGUUGGAUAUUUUCAGUUUUCUUAGUUUAAAUUUACCAAGCAAUGAAACACAUGUCUUAAGUGAUGAGAUUUUCUUUGAAUUGAAAUGAAAUUUGCAUAACACAAAAUUACUCAUUUAAAAGUAAACAUCUCGUGGGAUCCAGUACAUUGGCAGCAUGAUGCAUUCACCACUUCUAUCUAUUCCAAAGCAUUUCUGUCUUCCUGGAGAGACACUCCUUCCUCACUAGGCAUGGGGCUUUCUUUGAGGACAUGCUUUUAUGUGACUUGAUUUUAUUUUGUAUUGAGGCACCGGGGAAUGUACCUAGCAUUACACACUGUAAAUAAAUGCUGAACUCUGAGCCCUGUCCCCACUCCAGCAUGCUAUCUUAGUGCCCCACCCACUCCAACGUGCUAUCUACGUGCUGGCUUUAAUAUGUUGCGUGACAUAUCUCCUCUGUAGAGGGAGAGGCCCAGUCCGUUCCACAGUAGUCUCUCCCACGUGUGCUGAUGAAACGCAGCUGAGACAUUCCCUGACCUUGGCAGAAUCAGUCCAGCCUCCUUCCUGUCCCUCCUCUCAGAAACUAACGGUUGCAACUGACUUCUCUGUGGCCCCACUGUCACCAACAAGGCAGCUGUGAAUUUAAUGACAGGGCAAACAAAAAGCUGGUGAUAAUUAGGCGCUCUGAUGUUCAAGCGUUAUUGUUAUUCUGGAAAAAAAUCAAUUAGCUGAAUAAGAAAGUGCCAUUGAGACAAACAUUAAUUUUUCUCCCAGCAUGGCUCCAGCUGGGUAGGUCAGGUCCAGAAGGCAAAAAGGUAUUUCUAGUGUAAUAGAACUUAAAGUGUGUGUGUGUGUGUGUAUAUAUAUAUAUAUAUAUAUAUAUAUAUAUAUUUAAACUUUAUUUCAUGUGCAUUGGUGCUUUGCCAUGGGUGUCAGGCCCUCUGGAACUGGAGUUACAGACAGUUGUGAGCUGCCGUGUGGGUGCUAGGAAUUGAACCCAGGUCCUCUGGAAGAGCAGGCAGUGCUCUUAACCACUGAGCCAUCUCUCCAGCCC